rnacentral:rRNA from 1 species
UUGCCAUGGGAAGUAUGGUCUUUGGAGACAAAGUCCUUCAGUUCGGCUGGCUUCCGCACAGGUGCUGCAUGGCUGUCGUCAGCUCGUGUCGGUGAGAUGUUGGGUUAAGUCCCGCAACGAGCGCAACCCUCGUCUUCAGUUGCCAUCAUUAAGUUGGGCACUCUGGAGAAACUGCCGGUGAUAAGCCGGAGGAAGGUGGGGAUGACGUCAAGUCCUCAUGGCCCUUAUGGGCUGGGCUACACACGUGCUACAAUGGCAGUGACAACGGGACGCGAAAGGGCAACCUGGAGCUAAUCCCCAAAAGCUGUCUCAGUUCGGAUUGUUCUCUGCAACUCGAGAGCAUGAAGUUGGAAUCGCUAGUAAUCGUGGAUCAGCAUGCCGCGGUGAAUACGUUCCCGGGCCUUGUACACACCGCCCGUCACACCAUGGGAGUUGGUUUUACCCGAAGCCGGUGCGCUAACCUUUUAGGAGGCAGCCGUCCACGGUAAGGUCAGCGACUGGGGUGAAGUCGUAACAAGGUA